rnacentral:snoRNA from 14 species
GUGGCUUCAGAUUUUGAUUUUAAUUAUGCUUGCACCUAAUUUAUUGUGUUUGCAAUGUUCUAUGAAGCCUAUAAUUGUGUUCCCCUCGCUAUCCACUACUGCAAAUCUAAUGCUGUAUAUGGACGUCGGGGAACAAAAUUU